rnacentral:rRNA from 1 species
UACAGAGGUCUCAAGCGUUGUUCGGAUUCAUUGGGCGUAAAGGGUGCGUAGGCGGCGCGGUAAGUCGGGUGUGAAAUCUCGGAGCUUAACUCCGAAACUGCAUUCGAUACUGCCGUGCUUGAGGACUGGAGAGGAGACUGGAAUUUACGGUGUAGCGGUGAAAUGCGUAGAUAUCGUAAGGAAGACCAGUGGCGAAGGCGGGUCUCUGGACAGUUCCUGACGCUGAGGCACGAAGAUCGGGGGAGCAAACGGG